AUGAUGGCGUCCAUCUUCCCAGCAAAGAUGAAGGGGUGGCUUUACAACAACAUGCAGCUUCCAGGUUCCUCAAGUGUGUCUGACCGGGGCAUGGGAGAGCAGAUCACAGCUCAGUCACGUUUCUCUGAGCCCACAGCCCUGGUGCUGGAUCCCAAGGAGCCGUUUCCAGCCCUCCUGCAUCUUCAGCACGAACAGACUCUGCACAUGAAGCUUGAGGGAAGGAAGAAGCAGGCACCCAGGCCCCCACGGAAGUCUUCUCAGCAUUUCUGCAAGAAUUUAGGAAACAUUAGCUUUGACACCAUCAUUGUGCUUGCCAAGGCAGCAAAAAUCCCAGCCGGCAGAGCUCCCAGCGUGAUGAAGAGGACAGCGCGGAAUGACUGAUCACUUCACCCAGUCUUCCAGGGACUGUUCCCAACGCUGGGCUCGUCCACUGGCGUGGAGGCAGGAAAAUCGGGGUGUGGAUACCUUGGGGCCAUGCCAUGGUGACGCAGGAGACAACCAAGGGUUAACUGAGGGAGCUGAGAUAAACAAAUUCCAAAAGUCUCUGUGGUCUCGGGCUGUUUCUCCUUUUCUCUGCCUUUGCUUCUCUUAUCCUCACUCUUGAGGCAGGAGGCAGAGGAGGAUGAACUGGAGAAGUUGAGGCAAGAGACAGGUAAGGACCAGUUGGGGAAAUGGACAUAAAGUCAAUUAAAAAAAAGAGAGAGCAAUUGCAGUUUAAACAGAUAAGAUAGCAACUAAAGAAGUCCUGCUUCUCUAAUUGCAUGAUCAAUAAAUUACUUGUGAAAGAAAUUGUGAGUCUGGGA
rnacentral:lncRNA from 1 species